CUUAAUGAACCUUUGUUAACUUAGCUAAAGUCUGUAAUUCAUUCUGCCACCUGAACCCAUGCUGAUGUCAUUGACCCUUGCUGCCUCUGUUAAAAUGAUGUCUAUGGAAGUACCUGCGAUGCAUUCUUAUUUGUUCUCUAAGCCAUGUUGGUGCAUGUGGUCCUUGUUACCAUGAGAUAACGUCUUGAUUGUCAUGACUAUUCUUGGCCCUUAUAACCAUAUUAAUGUAAGUGUUCUGUGUUGCCAAUAUGAACAAUGCAAGUUUCCAAGAACUAAACUACCAGCUGAAACUAAGUUGAUAUCGGAGUACUUGCUGACACCUCCAAACAAAUUAAAUUAAUUCAUCGCUCUUGCAUCUGUUAAACAUGCAGAUGUCCAUGAGCCAACAUACUAUGCUAUUUCUACUUUUUCUGGAAGCCAUGUUGAUGCCAGUGUUAUUUCUUGCCCAUUGAUCUGAUGUUGAUGUCUAUCUGUCCUGCCACCUGAGACCAUGUUGAUGCAAGAGUUCUGUCUUUCCAAAAUGAGGAAUGUUAAUUUCCCUGACCUCAACCAUCGUAAUAAACUAUGUGGCUAUCUAUUCUGCAUGCUACUUCCUGAAUCCUUGUGGAUUUAAAUGAUCCCUGCUGCUUCUGUUACCCUUAUGGAUGUCCAUCAUUAGAAACAUAAUGCUAUUCCUACUACUUAUGGUAGCAGUGUUGAUGGUCAUGAUCUUGUAAACCACUGGACAUCAUGUAAAUUUCCAUGAUCACUUCUACUAUAGGUGAUCAUGUUAAUGUAAGUGUUCAUUGUUGCUAAUGUAUGGGAAUGGUAAUUUCCAAGACUUAACAUACAUUUGGUAACUAAGUUAAUACACAUAAUUCAUGCUGCCACCUCUGUGCCCAUGCUGGUGUCAUUGAUCACUGCACCCUUAACACACCCUGUUGAUAUUAAUGAAUGGAGCUCACAUGCAUUCCUGUUGGUUCUGUAAGCCAUGAUCAUACAAGUCGUGCUUUUUUCCAUGGGAUAACAUCUUGAUUGCCAUAAAAUCUAAAGUCAUUUAUGACCAUAUUAAGGCAAGUGCUCCUUUUUUGCAAUGUGAAGAAAGGUAAUUUCCAAGACAUAACAAGCAUUGGUAACUCAGCAGAUAUCCAUAAUUCAUGCUGCCACCUUCUAACAUAAUGAUGAUGGCAUUGAUAGUUUUUGCCAGAGUUAAACCUGUUGAUGUCUAUGAAUGCACCUCCAAUGCAUUCCAAUUGGUUCUGUAAACCAUGUCAAAGCCUGUAGUCCUUGUUACCAUGGGAUAAUAUCUUGAUUUCCAUGACCACUCUGGCCACUUAUGACCAUAUUGAUGAAAGUGUUCUGUGUUGCCUACAUGAAGAAUGUACCUGUCCAAGAACUAAAAUACCAACUAAAAUAAGUUGAUAUCCGGAAUAUUUGCUGUAACCUCCAAGCGAAUUCAUUUUUUUUUCAUCCCUGCUGCAUCUGUUAAACAUGUCAAUGUUCAUGAGCAAACAUACAUUGCUAUUACUACUAUUUCUGAAAGUCAUGUUGAUGCCAGUGAUCUUUCUUGCCCAUGGAUCUGAUAUUGAUGUACAUCUGUCCUACUACCUGAGACCAUGUGGAUGCAAGUGUUCUGUCUUUCCAACAUGAAGAAUGUUAAUUUCACUAGUCUCAACUACCAUAGUAAAUUAUGUGGCUAUCCAUUCUACAUGCUGCUACCUGAAACCAUGUGGAUGUCAUUGAUAUCUUCUCCCUGUGUGAACCACAUGCAUGUCCAUGAUUGGAAGCACAAUGCCAUUCCUACUACUUCUGGAAGCAAUGUUGAUGCUCAUGAUCUUCUGACCACUGGAAACCAUGUUGAAUUCUGUGAUCUCUCCUGCUACAAGUCACCAUCUUAAGGUAAGUGUUUCUUGUUAUCAAUGUAUAGAAUAGUAAUUUCCAAGAUUUAACUAACUUUUGCUAACUAAGUUGAUCCACAUAUUUAAUACUGCCACCUCUAGCAAUGCUGAUGUCUUUGAUCACUGCUGCCUUAACUAACCCUGUUGAUAUUAAUGAAUGGAGCUCCCAUACAUUCCUAUUGGUUUGGUAAGCUAUGUUGAUGCAUGUGAUCCUUAUUAACAUGGGACAACACCUUGAUUGCUAUGAAUUCUCCAUCUCCUUAUAACCUUACUAAUGUUCAUGUUCUGUGUUGCAAAUAUGAAGAAUGUAAUUUCUAAGAAUUGAAAUACUAACAGAAACUAACUUAAUGUCCUGAAUGGAUGAUGAUACCUCCAAACAAGUUGUGGUCCUUAAUCCUAGCUGAGUUUCUUAAUCAUAUGCAUAUCCAUGGUUGGAAGGGCAAUGCUAUUCCUACUCCUUCGGGAAGCAAUGCUGAUGCUCAGGAUCUUCUUACCACUGUAAACGAGGCUUAUUUCCAUGGAGUCUCCUGCUAGAAGUAACCAUGAUAAGGUAAGUGUUCCUUUUUGGAUAUAUGUAGAAUGGUAAUUCCUAAGACUUAAUGAACCUUUCUUAACUUAGCUAAAGUCUGUAAUUCAUUCUGCGACAUGCACCCAUGUUGAUGUCAUUGACCGUUGCUGCCUCUGUUAAACUUGUUGAUGUUUAUGAAAGUACCUGGGAUGCAUUCUUAUUUGUUCUGUAAGCCAUGUUGAUGCAUGUGGUCCUUGUUACAGCAGGAUAACAUCUUGAUUGUCAUGACUAUUAUGGCACCUUAUGACCAUAUUAAUGUAAGUGUUCUGUGUUGCCAACAUGAAGAAUGUAAAUUUCCAAGAACUAAAAUACCAAUGAAACUAAGUUGAUAUCCGGGAUACAUGCAGUCACCUCCCAACAAAUUGAAUUCAUUCAUCCCUGUUGCAUCUGUUAAACAUGUAGAUGUCCAUGAGCUGACAUACCAUGCUAUUCCUACUAUUUCUGCAAGCCAUAUUGAUGCCAGUGUUCUUUCUUGCCCAUGGAUCUGAUGUUGAUGUCCAUCUGUCCUGCUACUUGAGACCAUGUUGAAGAAAGAGUUCUGUGUUUUCACCAUGAGGAAUACUAAUUUUCCUGAUCUAAACUAUCAUAGUAAACUAUGUGGCUAUCCAUUGAACAUGCUGCCACCUGAAACCUUAUGGAUUUAAAUGAUCCCUGCUGCUUCUGUUACCCAUAUGGAUGUCCAUGAUUAGAUACAUAAUACUAUUCCUACUACCUCUGGUAGCAAUGUUGAUGCUCAUGAUCUUGUAAACCACUGGACACCAUGUUGAUUUUCUUGAUCUCUCCUGCUUUAGGUGAUCAUGUUCAUGUAAGUGUUCCUUGUUGCCAAUGUAUAGAAUGGUAAUUUCCAAGUUUUAACAACCUUUUGUUAACUAAGUUGACACACAUAAUUCAUACUGAUACCUGCCCCCAUGCUGAUGUCAUUGAUCACUGCUGCCUUUUAAAACCCUGUUUAUAUUAAUAAAUUGAGCUCCCAUGCAUUCCUAGUGAUUCUGUAAGCCAUUUUGAUGCAUGCAGUUCUUGUUUCCAUGGGAUUACAUCUUGAUUGCUAUUUAUUCUGCAUCCCCUUAUGACCUUAUUAAUGUAAGUGUUCUGUGUUGCCAAUGUGAAGAAUGCAUUUUCCAAGAGAAACUAAAUUAAUAUUCUUAAUACUUGCUGCUACCUCAAACAAUUUGGGGUCAUUUUCCCAGCUGAGUGUCCAUGAGUUAAACAUGUCGAUGUCCAUGAUUGGAACUACAAUUACUAAUCCUACCCCCUGGAAGCAAUGUUGAUGCUCAUGAUCUUCUUUCCUGUGGACACCAGGUAGAUUUCCAUGAUCUCUCCAAGUACAAGUGACAAUAUUAAGGUAAGUGUUGCUUUUUGGCAAUUUAUAGAAUGGUAAUUCUCUAGAUUUAAUGAACCUCCAUUAAUUUAGCUGAUAUCUGUAAUUCAUACUUCCUCCUGCACCAAUGCUGAUGUCAUUGAUCGCUGCUGCCUCUGUUGCCCUUUUUGAUAUCUGAAUGGACCUUCCAUGCAUUCCCAUUGGUUGUGUAAGCCAUGUUGAUGCAUGUGGUCCUUGUUAUCAUGGGAUAACAUCUUGAUUGCCAUGACCUCUAUGGCCCCUUAUGGUCAUAUUAAGGUAAGUGUUCUUUUUUUGCUAAUGUGAGGAAAGUAAAUUUCUACGAACUGAAAUACCAACUGAAACUAAGUUGAUAUCUAGAAUACUUGCUGCUCCCUACAUAUAAACUGAAUUGAUUUAUCCCUGCUGCAUGUAGUAUACAUGUAGAUGUCCAGGAUUUGAUGUCUUAUGGUAUUUCUGGCAUUACUAGAAACCAUGUGGAUGCCUGUGGUUUUUCUUGCCAGUAUGUUCCAUAUAGAUUUCCUUGAUAUCUCUUGCUACCUGUGACAAUGUUAAUGUAAGUGUUCUGUUCUGUCAAUGUGAAGAACAUAAAUUUCCAAGAAUUUAACCACCAACUGAAACUAAGUUGAUAUACAGAAUGCAUGGUGCCACCUCCAAACAUGUUGAAGUCAGUGAUCCCUCAUGCCUCUGUUGGACAUACUGGUGUUUAUGAUUCUAACUAUAAUGAUAUUCCUACAACAUUUGGAAUCCAUGAUGAUGCCCAUCAUAUUUGUACCUGUGGAUACCAUAUUGAUUAUUGUGAUCUCUCCUGCUGUCUUUGACCUUGUUAAAUUAAGUCUUCUCUCACUUAAUGAAGAACAUUAAGUUCCAAGAUUUAGCCAUUGAAAUGUUAAUUUCCAAGAUUUCACCAAUUUUGGAAACUAAUUUUAUAUCCGUAAUUCUUGGUGUCAUCUGAAUCAAUGGUCAUUUUAUUGAUCGAUGUUGCCUCUGUUAACCAUGUUGAUGCCUAUGAUCAGAACUUCCAUGCUAUUUUUAUUCAUUCUGGAAGCCAUGUUGAUGCCCAUGCUCCUUGUUAUCUCUGGAUAACGUCUUGAUAUUGGUGACCUAUGUGGUCAAUUAUGACCAUAUUAAGAUAAGGUUUCUGUUAUUCCAACAUGAACAAAGUAAAUUUCCAAGAAUUCAACUACCAUCUAAGUUAAUAUCCAUAAUUCAUGCUGCUGUCUAUAAACAUGUUGAUGCCAUUAUUCCCUGAUGCCUCUGUUAAUGGUCUUGAUGUCUGUGAUUGGACAUUCCAUGGUAUUCCUACUAUUUCAGGGAGCCAUGUCAAUGCCUGUGGUCAUUCUUGUUCCUCAAUAUGAAGUUUAUAUCUAUCUUUCCUGCCACUGUUUUGUGAAUGAGAAAAAUGUUAAUUUUUAAGAUUUAACCCAAACAUAAGAUGAAAUCCAUAAUUUAUGAUGGCACCUGAAACCAUGUUGAUGUCAUUGAUCCUACUCUGUUAAUCAAAUUGAUGUCUAACAUAGGACAUCAUGGUAUUCCUGCUUCUUCUGGAAGCCAUGUAGAUGCCUGUGGUCCUUCUUAACUACUAUAUACAUUGUUGAUUUCCAAGGUCUCUCCUGCCCAUUGUGACUGCAUUAAAUUAUUGUUCGGUGUUACCAACAUGCAGAAUGUUAAUUUGCAUGAUUUAACCCACCAUCCAAACAUAAGAUGAAAUCCAUAAUUCAUGAUGGCACCUGAAACCAUGUUGAUGCCAUCUGUUAACCAAACUAAUGUCCAUGGUUGGAUGACCUACCAUGCUCUUCCUACUAUUUCUGGAAGCCUUGUUGAUGCUUGUGAUCUUUCUUACUGUGGAUAUGACAUUGAUGUCCAUAUCCAUGGAGAUCUUCUGCUACAUGAGACCCUAUUGUUGCAAGAGUUUUGUGCAGGCAAUGUGAUCAAUGUUAAUUGCCAUGAUCUCAGCUACCAUCUGAAACUGUUAUUUACAUGCUGCCACCUGUUACCUUGUUGAUGACAUUGAUGUCUGCUGUCCUCUUUAUCAUGUUCAUGAACAUUACUAUGCUAUUCCUAUUGGUUUGAAGUCCAUGUUGAUGCCUUGUGGUACUUUUUGAUCCUGUAUAAGAUGCUUAUAUUGAUGGUGUGACCUGCCACCUGAUACCAUGCUGAGGUAUUUUUCUGUGUUGCCCACAUGAAGAAUAUUGAUUUCCAUGAGUUGACCUGCCAUUGGAACUUAAGUUGAUAUCUAUAAUUCAUUCUGUCCCUGGAACCAUGUUGAUAUCACUGAUCCUUGCUUCUUUUUUUAUCAUGUUAAUUACCAUGAUCUGACCUACCAUGCUAUCCCUACUGCUUCUGGAAGCCAUGUUGAUGCCUGUGGUUAUUGGUGCCCCUGAAUAUGAUGUUGAUGUCGAUGUUCUGUUCUGACUCCUGAAUCUGUGCUGAGGCCACCACUUUGAUGUCACUGAUCCUUGCUGCAUGUUUUAACUAUGUUGAUAUCCAUGAGCCAAUCCUCCAUUCAAAACCAUGUUGAUGUCAUGGAUUCUUCCUACUUCUGCUAUGUUGCUGCCCAUGAUCUGACCUACCAUUCAACCCCUAAUGCUUCAGGAAGCCAUGGUGAUGCCUGCGAUCCUUGUUGCCCCUGGAUGCAAUGUUGAUGCCCAUGUUCUGUCCUACCACCUAAGACCACAUUGAGGAAAUCAUAUUGAUGUCACUGUUCUUUGCUGCAUCUUCUAACCAUGUUGAUGUUCAUCAUCCAACCUACUGUCCAAAACUUUUUUGAUGUUACUGAUCUACGUUGUAGCUGUCAACCAUGUUGAGGUCACUGAACUUUGCAACUACCUGUAAUCAUAUUGGUGUCUGCAGUGUACAGUGUCAUCAGAAACAGUGUUGAAGUCAUUCGUCCAUACUGCUUCCUUAGACCCAGUUCAAAUAUCCAUGAUUCAACCUGUCAUCUGGAACUUUGUUGAUGUCACUGAUCUUUGCUGUUGCUGUCAACCAUGUUGAUGUUACUGAAACUUGCUUCCACUUGUAACCAUACUGCUGUCUCUAGUCUGUUAUAAUCUGUGACAAUUCUGAAAUCAAUGGUAUAUACUACCACCUGAGACCCACUUCAGGAAACCAACCAUGUUGAUGUCACUGAUCUUUGUUCCCUUUAUGACCAUGUGGAUGUCCAUUAUCUGACUUAACAUCUGAAAUUAUGUUGAUGUCACUCAUUCUUGCUGCUGCUGAUAACCAUGUUUAUGGCCAUAGUCUUUGUUGGAAUCUUAGACCUUGUGAAUAUCCAUUGUCCAUGUUUCCACCUGAGUCCAUGAUGAUGACCAUGAUGACUUUAGUCUUUGCUGCUGUCAGCCAUAAUGUUGAUGCCUCUGAUUGGUCCUUCUACUGGUGACUAGGUCAAUAUGAAUGAUCUGAGCUGCCAACAGAAACUAUUUUGAUAUCAUUAAGCCAUCAUUGUGCUGGAAACCAUGUUGCAAUCUUUGUCCUUGAUGCCCUCAAAUACUAUGUUUAUGUUCAUGCUCUGGGUUGUAUGCUGAAGACCAGUUGGAUAUCCAUGACCCAGCUGCUGAUGGAGACUGUGUCGAUAUCUGUGAUCAGUACUGCCACAAGAAAACUUCCUGAUAGUGAUCUGUGAUGCCUCCCUCAAACAUGUUAUGUUGGUGAUCUGUGUUGAUGUCCUGGACCAGAUGGAUGGCAGUUAUCCAAGCUGUCACCAGUAAUCUUGUAUUCCAUGAUCUGUGCUGCUCCUGGAUACCCUGUAGAAGUCUAUGAUUCAUUGUCCUGCUGGAAACCAUGUGGAAGGCCUUGAUCUAUACUUCCACUGACUUUUAUGGGCAAGGAAAUUCUUUUGCAGUAGUAUCAAUGACUGUAGAUCAUAACUGAAAUUCAGAUGGACAUUGAAGGCUUCUAUGCCACCAUCCCUCCAAAAAAGAAAAUCUAGACAGGAUCUUAUUGGAGAGUUCUUGAAAGUUGUAAUAAAAAUACUUAACUGUAGGUCUUCAGAGUUGAUGGCUUCAGGCAGGGGUUGGGAAAGAACUCCUCUUUGAAGGGCUAGCUACUGCAAGUUUGCCCAAGCUCCAAUGAGUAUAAGGAGAACACCAAUUGGACUUGUUAUAUUGUAUUUUUUCUAUUCUGGGGGAGGAUGCCACAAAGGUGAGAGGGUGGACCUGGGAGGAAUGGGAAUCAAUUGUGAUUGAGGUAUGUUGUAUGACAUUCUCAAAUGAUUAAUAAAAUAUUA